rnacentral:rRNA from 1 species
UACAGAGACUGCAAGCGUUAUUCGGAUUCACUGGGCGUAAAGGGUGCGCAGGCGGUUGGGUGUGUCAGAUGUGAAAUCCCGAGGCUUAACCUCGGAACUGCGUCUGAAACUACUCGACUAGAGUACUGGAGAGGGAAACGGAAUUCACGGUGUAGCAGUGAAAUGCGUAGAUAUCGUAAGGAACACCUGUGGCGAAAGCGGCUUACUGGGUCUUUUCUGACGCUGAUGCACGAAAGCCAGGGGAGCAAACGGG